UGAUGCCUUCUAUCCGCGUUCCGAGUUCUGUUCUUGCCCUGGUUCUGGAUGCCAUCCGCAAGUGGCCAUUGUAUAAAAUCCGAAUCUAAAUCAUCUUAUUUUCUAUUUAGAAAUUGAGAACUAGACGCAGUGCAUUAUUGCAUUUCUGCAGCCUGCCCAACGGAAGUAAUUUGAGAGGAGAGACUCUCCUUGGCUGGACCUCCGUUUUGCAAAUUUCUAUGCUUAAUGUUGUUUUAUGGGUAGUAAUAUGUACCAUCGCAGUCGAUCUGUUGUUAUGCCCUUUGCUGGCAAAUCUAUAUAACUCUGGCUGCGUCGAUAACCUGGAAAGAUUUUGCCGCUCAAUUUGUCGUUUGUUCUUCUUGCGACCCCGGAGCCACUGGUGUGCUUAAGUUUGAAAAAGAGGCCAUUUAGGGAUAAUAAUACGACCGCUCCAGUGUUCAGUGAAAGCAAUGCGGAGUGCCUUACAUAAAAAAAAAAAACUGGAUUAACACAAUGGAAUGCCAGAACGAUAGAUCCAAACGUGAAUUAACACAAUGAGAAUUUAACCAUGAAUGCUCCCUAAAUUUGUUACAUUU
rnacentral:lncRNA from 1 species